UAAUUCGUUUUGGCCAGAUCCUCAUUUAGUUAUGGUCGAUUCACACAUAACUACUCAAAAUCACCCGUUAUCACAAGUCUGACUAUAUCAUUGACAUUGAAAAACAGAGAAAAACUAUUGUGUGAAUAUUGGUGAGCUGACUA
rnacentral:pre_miRNA from 1 species